rnacentral:lncRNA from 1 species
GUUGGUUGCAUUGUUUGUAUGUAGAUCUUUUUACAUUAUAUGGUAAUGUACACUACUGAUAUAGUUCACAAAAUAAGAUCCUUUGGAAGAAUUAUGCACAAGACAUGAUAUUGGAUUUAUACACUGGAUCCCAGGAUGUGACUCACUGGGAAAAAAUGUUGGACUAGGCAUGUUCAGUGAAGGAGCCAGGAAGUUAUAUAACACACGGUAAACAUCCACCUGGCUCAAGGGGCAAAUGCAGUACGUACAGCAUUGGCAGUGGUGCGUCAGAGGUGGCAGAACUAUUUCACAC